rnacentral:rRNA from 1 species
UACGUAGGUGGCGAGCGUUAUCCGGAAUGAUUGGGCGUAAAGGGUGCGUAGGCGGUCGAUUAAGUCUGGAGUGAAAGGUACCGGCUCAACCGGUAUAGGCUCUGGAAACUGAUGGACUGGAGUACAGGAGAGGGUGGCGGAACUCCAUGUGUAGCGGUAAAAUGCGUAGAUAUAUGGAGGAACACCAGUGGCGAAGGCGGCUCUCUGGUCUGUAACUGACGCUGAUGCUCGAAAGCGCGGGUAUCGAACAG